UUCCUGUUGAGGAUGGGAUAUCCCAUAAGGUGAUGGAAAACACAGUGGUCCUGAGCCACACAGCUGCAGCCUUGGUGGCUUCAGGUCUCUGGAGUAAGGUGCAACCCUGGAGGAAACCGUGACAACCCAGCUCCAGUCAGGUGUGAUAAUGGGCAUGGCAAUGUAAUGGAGCUGACAAGAAGAAUUUCACCAACAGCUGUGAAUGCACUUUAAGAGGAAGAAUAAGAAUUGAGAUGGGAAGAGAAGAGGGUGUGAUACAAGCACAAGCCAGGAAGGCAGCGUGUACACCAAGACAGACUGCUACAGCUUUUCAUAGUAAACAAACACCUAUGCCAGCAAGUGCUUGAGGUGACUAGUAUUUCCAUCUUCUUGUAAGUGUUCAUUGUAAUGCAUGAUUUCCCCAUGCAGACAGUGUUUUCUGUGCUGUUUAUUAGUUGAGUAUACACUGGUGUGUGUCAUGUCUGGGAAGCAUGAAGAGAAAAACUUCUAAAAUGAUUAUUAAAAAGCAUAGAAUGAGGCACAUGUUAAGUGGCACUCCCUUGAAGAAAGCACCACCCACCAUUUUGCUUGGCUGAACUUUCUGUCUCUGCCUGGGAUUUGCAAUCAGUUCUCUGCUAAAACUCAGUGCCUUUAAAAACCCUUUAUAGGUACUGUUUCUCUUUCUAAAAAGAAGGCUAUGAGAGUAAGACAUCUCCUUUUGAUGUGGUAAAUAAGACAACAGUCAGGGCAAACAUACUUGGGAUAGUAUAAAUCUGAAUACAAGUUUUCCACCUGUCAAAGUUUACUCCUGCUGUACCCAACAGACAAUAGAGUAAUCUUCAGGUGGCAUGAGAAGGGUGGCUCUAACAGUAUGUUUUGUUGAAGGUGCUGCCCUUUGCAUGCAAAAAUAUGAGUGAAAUAAAUUCCUAUUAUCCUAUAGCA
rnacentral:lncRNA from 1 species